GAUGAACGCUCGCUACAGGCUUAACACAUGCAAGUCGAGGGGCAGCGGUAUCGAAAGCUUGCUUUCGGUAGCCGGCGACCGGCGCACGGGUGAGUAACGCGUAUCGAACCUGCCUCAUACUCGGGAAUAGCCUUGCGAAAGUAAGAUUAAUGCCCGGUGUUUUCAGAGUCCCGCAUGAGGCUUUGAACAAAGAUUUAUCGGUAUGAGAUGGCGAUGCGUCCCAUUAGCUUGUUGGCGGGGUAACGGCCCACCAAGGCAUCGAUGGGUAGGGGUUCUGAGAGGAAGGUCCCCCACAUUGGAACUGAGACACGGUCCAAACUCCUACGGGAGGCAGCAGUGAGGAAUAUUGGUCAAUGGGCGGAAGCCUGAACCAGCCAAGUAGCGUGCAGGAAGACGGCCCUCCGGGUUGUAAACUGCUUUUAGUUGGGAAUAAAACGGGGCUCGUGAGCCCCCUUGCAUGUACCAUCAGAAAAAGGACCGGCUAAUUCCGUG
rnacentral:rRNA from 1 species